AUUCAAAAUAUUAUGCAAUUGAUGUCACCGAUUCGGCUUCGGCAUUUCUCGUCGUUCAUUUUAUAACAUAAAUAUUACUCAAUGGUUGUAUGUAGUUAACAAUUAACAUUCAACAAUCGUAGARUCGUUCUUCGUGCGGUCAAGACAUUCUACAUUUCUACGUGCCUACCUUUCAACAUUCGAAGGUUGUUCGAUUGAACUGUUUCUUUAUUUCGUUGUCGUCUGUACGCUCGUUUGGUUCUUCCGAUCGCCGGACAUCCGGUUGAUCUUAAAUUCCAGCUCACACCCACUUUAAGGACGUUGACGACUCCCUAGAGUCCAAAUCCGCAACUUUACGCCCAACAAAAACGUCCGUCGAUAGCCAUGACUUUCAACUUUCCAGCGUGCACCUACAUUGUGGCUAUGAUAACCGACGCUUUUCUGUUGUUCUUCUCGGUGUUUCACGUUAUUGCGUUUGAUGAACUGAAGAAUGACAGCAAGAAUCCUAUAGAUCAAUGCAACAGUUUAAAUCCAUUAGUGAUUCCAGAAUAUAUUUUACAUUUCUUCUCAAAUCUGUUGUUUUUGUUUGGAGGCCAGUGGUUGUCCAUUGCUAUAAAUGUUCCAUUAAUGGCUUAUCAUAUUUCAAAGUAUCGAAAUAGACCCGCUAUGUCUGGUUUUGGUCUCUAUGAUCCAACAAGUAUUAUGAAUGCCGAUAAAUUAAAUAGAUAUCAACGUGAAGGUUGGAUAAAAUUGGCAUUUUAUUUGUUCUCAUUUUUUUACUACUUAUAUGGAAUGAUAAGAGCAUUAAUCACAGCUUAAAUCUAAGAUCCUCUGAAGUCUGAACAUUCUUCUUGUACAMCUAUAAUAGAUUAAAAGUUAAAUAUAACUUUUGGCAGCGGAACAAUAAUCACCAGAUUGAAUAAACCCAACAUUUAUAAUUAAUUCAGUAAAUAUGUAUGUUACUGGCAAUCUGGAAUAUUGGAACUGUGAAUAAAAUAAUUUACAAUUAAGUUAAUUGUGCUGAUAAAUGAUAAAAAUUAUUUUAUUUAAUAGAUGGCUAAUUGUAAUACAUAAAUAAUAAUUGUAAGUACGACUACCAAGUUUUAGUUCACUUUUUAUUAACACAAUGUUUGUAAUCAUACUCCUUUUUAUAUUCCCACUCCCUUCGGCCACAAUCACCCCAUGCAAAGAAUACUUAGGUUUUAUAAUCUAGUUUAACUUURGCCUUUAAUUGUUAUAGUUUAUUUGCUGUUAUACUUAUAUUGUUUAGUGUUAUACUAUUAUCACAUUAUAUAACCUAUCUUAUAAUACACUUUUUUGUAAAAGCCCAUUGGUGUUAUUCCAAACAAUAAAUAAAACAUAAACAUUUUUA